rnacentral:lncRNA from 1 species
CUGAGUUAUCUGUGAUUUCAGGUUGGGAAGGAAUAGCUGAAGGAAACAGGGAUGAUUUCGAGUACCAAAAAAAAAAAAAAAAAGCUAGAAAGACCGUGCGCAUCGUUUUGUGCCAGGCCUCUCCUUUCAUUUUUUUCUAAUUUCUGGCUCUGAGGCUGCCGGUGGUCCACUUUUCCGUGCCUUUGAAAGGAAGGAGGGAGGGUGUGUGGUGGCGGCGGCGAGAAAGGAGAAGACGGUGCAGAAGAAGCUCGUCUCGCCUACCACGCCGCCCGGGCAGACAAAAGGGGCGAAGGCAAGGGAGGCAGGCUGAGGGAUCUCUCGAACCUCAAGGUCAUACGCUCUUGAGAGACGAGACGAAGAAAAGGGGUGCGCGCGGGCGCACAACGACGACGCCCUCAUUCCUCCACUAACCACUGAGCGCGCCCCCCUUGUCCGGCCUCCGCUUUUCUCCUCCCCUACUUCGCGCGGCUGCUUGUUGUUCGUCCGCUCUGCACCUGAGCCGCUACUGCGCCUCUCGCCGCCACCCUAGCAGCCCUUCGGCUUCCCGCCCCUUUUCCUGGCGCUGCGUGCGCGCCCGGUGGCCGGCUGGGCUGGGUGAGCUAAGCUUUGCCUAUUCUCUGCCGGAAGAGAGGAGCCCUUCUCGUCUCGAGCGCGAAGCCACUGUCUCCACAAUACUCGAGCAGCCGCCGCCUGCCCGCUGUGAAGGGUCGCCUGGCGGGGCUGCUUGGUUUCUUCUCUCGUCGUCGUGCCCGCCGGGCUCCCUGCUCCCCAGCUGCGCUGCCCCAGGCUGUGGGGGGACGCAAUGCUAGGGCCGCCGACGGCUUCCAAGUUCCCGCCGCCUGGCCACCGGCCUGGGCGCAGCAGCUGUAAGGGGGGCGCUCGCCGGCUCUCCGUGGCGGGAUAAUGCGUCGUCGUUGCUGCCGUCGCCGCCGCGUCUGCUGGUCGCCCGUCCGAGAGGCCCCGAGUCGCCGCCAUGUCCCCCCCAGCCUCGGCGGCCGCGGCCAGCAGCAGCGAGAGAGGCAGCAGCACCUCGGUCCCUCAGGAGGAGGCGGAGGGGGUCCGAGAGGAGGUGAGGACUGAGAGAGAGGAGCUACCUGUCCUCCCUGGCUGGGCCUUUAGCAAAACACGUUGUAAUCGUCUGCAUGUGACCGGCUUUGCAUGGCACGCUCAUUGCAUCGCGAUGAGGCUCCCUCCGCUCCGACACGGGGCUUGGCUUGCACCCCGGGCUCUAACAGGGCCAGGGCGCUUUGCAUACACAGCAGCGGCCAGUGAAGCAGUCCCUCAGCAAAUCCCUCUGCAGGGAAUCACACUGGAAGU